UUACCUUUGUUGAGAAGACUGCUGUUUGUGUAUAUACUGAAGUGUGUUGUGCUUUACAGCUGCCCAAAACCAAACUGGGCGGGCGCGUUGAUUAAAUAAACGUUUCGUGCCCUCAUCUCACGGAAUGAUGAAGUAUAAAUCAUGGAAACAAACCAUAAAAAAAGUUACCUGUACCAAGAAAAGUCAGAGGACAGACACUAACCUAACCCUAACCUGAACACCGCUGAGCAGAACCGCAGGACGCCGGUGAUGUGUCCGGGUACCAACAUCUGUUCUGCUUCUGGAGGAGGUAAGAAACCCAAACAAACACAAUAAAACAGUCUGAUUAAAUUCAAAUGUGUGUCUUGAUGAAGAGCGCAUGCUUUAGGACUCUGGAUUGUGAUUUAGUGAAGAUAUAAGCGGUGUACCACUCGUCCUGUGGGAUACUGGACCGUAUGUCGCCAUCUGUACAGCUCUACAUAUAAAGGAUGGGUUAGAGUCAGAUCUCUCCUCGUGGGAAUAGUGGUGUUGUAUGAAAACCAGCUGGGUUUCUGGUCCGUAUAAAUCAUCUCCAAUGUGCCCUAAAAACGUCGAGGUCCCACGAGACGACAUCGGUGGAAGAAGGCGGCGGCAAUCUACCUAUUCUCAAUUCUACAUUGUUUCACACAAACCCACACACUUAAUGUUUUAGUAUUACAUUUAAAAAUGAGUGAAUUCCACAUGAUCAUCUGAAUAAACACUACAGUAUGUAUUUAUAUCCACACAAAGGAUUUAAGCUGAUUUCAAUAAGUGCAAUAAAAUGCAGGACUGCAGGAA